GAUGAACGCUGGCGGCGUGCCUAAUACAUGCAAGUCGAGCGAACGGACGAGAAGCUUGCUUCUCUGAUGUUAGCGGCGGACGGGUGAGUAACACGUGGAUAACCUACCUAUAAGACUGGGAUACCUUCGGGAACCCGGAGCUAAUACCGGAUGAUAUUUUGAACCGCAUGGUUCAAAAGUGAAAGACGUUCUUGUGGUCAUUUAUGGAUGGAUCCGCGCUGCAUUAGCUAGUUGGUAAGGUAACGGCUUACCAAGGCAACGAUGCAUAGCCGACCUGAGAGGGUGAUCGGCCACACUGGAACUGAGACACGGUCCAGACUCCUACGGGAGGCAGCAGUAGGGAACCUUCCGCAAUGGGCGAAAGCCUGACGGAGCAACGCCGCGUGAGUGAUGAAGGUCUUCGGAUCGUAAAACUCUGUUAUUAGGGAAGAACAUAUGUGUAAGUAACUGUGCACAUCUUGACGGUACCUAAUCAGAAAGCCACGGCUAACUACGUG
rnacentral:rRNA from 1 species